rnacentral:rRNA from 1 species
UUUAUUUGAGAGUUUGAUCCUGGCUCAGGAUGAACGCUGGCGGCGUGCCUAAUACAUGCAAGUCGAGCGAAUGGAUUAAGAGCUUGCUCUUAUGAAGUUAGCGGCGGACGGGUGAGUAACACGUGGGUAACCUGCCCAUAAGACUGGGAUAACUCCGGGAAACCGGGGCUAAUACCGGAUAACAUUUUGAACCGCAUGGUUCGAAAUCGAAAGGCGGCUUCGGCUGUCACUUAUGGAUGGACCCGCGUCGCAUUAGCUAGUUGGUGAGGUAACGGCUCACCAAGGCAACGCUGCGUAUCCGCCCUGAGAGGG